AUACUUACCUGGCGUAGGGGUUUACCGUGAUCAAUAAGGCGGUUCCCCGGGGUGAGGCCCUUCCAUUGCACCACAGUUGGGCUGACCAAUGCGAUUAUUCCUCAUACGAAUAACUCGGGCGCAUAAUUUUUGGUAGUCGGGACCAGUGUGACCAGA
rfam:Dendroctonus ponderosae Seq01000049, whole genome shotgun sequence.